GAUGAACGCUGGCGGCGUGCCUAAUACAUGCAAGUCGAGCGAACAGACGAGGAGCUUGCUCCUCUGACGUUAGCGGCGGACGGGUGAGUAACACGUGGAUAACCUACCUAUAAGACUGGGAUAACUUCGGGAAACCGGAGCUAAUACCGGAUAAUAUAUUGAACCGCAUGGUUCAAUAGUGAAAGACGGUUUUGCUGUCACUUAUAGAUGGAUCCGCGCCGCAGUAGCUAGUUGGUAAGGUAACGGCUUACCAAGGCAACGAUGCGUAGCCGACCUGAGAGGGUGAUCGGCCACUCUGGAGCUGAGACGCGGUCCAGCCUCCUACGGGAGGCAGCAGUAGGGAAUCUUCCGCAAUGGGCGAAAGCCUGACGGAGCAACGCCGCGUGAGUGAUGAAGGUCUUCGGAUCGUAAAACUCUGUUAUUAGGGAAGAACAAAUGUGUAAGUCACUAUGCACGUCUGGACGGUACCUAAUCAGAAAGCCACGGCUACCUACGU
rnacentral:rRNA from 1 species